CCUACGGGAGGCUGCAGUGGGGAAUUUUCCGCAAUGGGCGAAAGCCUGACGGAGCAAUACCGCGUGAGGGACGAAGGUCUUGGGUUGUAAACCUCUUUUCUUAGGGAAGAUAAUGACGGUACCUAACGAAUAAGCAUCGGCUAACUCCGUGCCAGCAGCCGCGGUAAGACGGAGGAUGCAAGCGUUAUCCGGAAUUAUUGGGCGUAAAGCGUCCGCAGGCGGUUUUACAAGUCUGCCGUCAAAGCGCGAGGCUCAACCUUGGAAAGGCAAUGGAAACUGUGAGACUAGAGAGAGAUAGGGGUAGGAGGAAUUCCAGGUGUAGCGGUGAAAUGCGUAGAUAUCUGGAAGAACACCAGUGGCGAAAGCGUCCUGCUGGAUCUCAACUGACGCUGAAGUACGAAAGCUAGGGGAGCGAAUGGGAUUAGAUACCCCGGUAGUC
rnacentral:rRNA from 1 species